rnacentral:rRNA from 1 species
GAUGAACGCUGGCGGCGUGCCUAAUACAUGCAAGUCGAGCGAACGGACGAGAGGCUUGCUUCUCUGAUGUUAGCGGCGGACGGGUGAGUAACACGUGGAUAACCUACCUAUAAGACUGGGAUAACUUCGGGAAACCGUAGCUAAUACCGGAUAAUAUUUUGAACCGCAUGGUUCAAAAGUGAAAGACGGUCUUGCUGUCACUUAUAGAUGGAUCCGCGCUGCAUUAGCUAGUUGGUAAGGUAACGGCUUACCAAGGCAACGAUGCAUAGCCGACCUGAGAGGGUGAUCGGCCACACUGGAACUGAGACACGGUCCAGACUCCUACGGGAGGCAGCAGUAGGGAAUCUUCCGCAAUGGGCGAAAGCCUGACGGAGCAACGCCGCGUGAGUGAUGAAGGUCUUAGGAUCGUAAAACUCUGUUAUUAGGGAAGAACAUAUGUGUAAGUAACUGUGCACAUCUUGACGGUACCUAAUCAGAAAGCCACGGCUAACUACGUG